rnacentral:rRNA from 1 species
UACGGAGGGGGCUAGCGUUGUUCGGAAUUACUGGGCGUAAAGCGCACGUAGGCGGCUUUGCAAGUCAGAGGUGAAAGCCCGGGGCUCAACCCCGGAAUUGCCUUUGAGACUGCAUCGCUAGAAUUGUGGAGAGGUAAGUGGAAUUCCGAGUGUAGAGGUGAAAUUCGUAGAUAUUGGGAAGAACACCGGUGGCGAAGGCGGCUCACUGGCUCGUAACUGACGCUCAGGCGCGACAGCGUGGGGAUCAAACAGG